rnacentral:rRNA from 1 species
GACGUAGGGCGCGAGCGUUGUCCGGAUUUAUUGGGCGUAAAGAGCUCGUAGGCGGCUUGUCGCGUCGACUGUGAAAUCCCGCGGCUCAACUGCGGGUCUGCAGUCGAUACGGGCAGGCUAGAGUUCGGUAGGGGAGACUGGAAUUCCUGGUGUAGCGGUGAAAUGCGCAGAUAUCAGGAGGAACACCGGUGGCGAAGGCGGUUCUCUGGGACGGUACUGACGCUGAGACGCGAAAGCGUGGGGAGCGAACAGG